GACGAACGCUGGCGGCGUGCUUAACACAUGCAAGUCGAACGAUGAAGUUCCUUCGGGAAUGGAUUAGUGGCGAACGGGUGAGGAACACGUGAGAACCUGCCUUUCAUUUUGGGAUAACUCCGGGAAACCGGGGCUAAAACCGAAUACUCCGUCUCGGCGGCAUCGCUGAGCCGGGAAAAAAUUUUGAUGAAAGAUGGUCUCGCGGCCUAUCAGCUAGUUGGUGAGGUAAUGGCUCACCAAGGCAACGACGGGUAGCCGGCCUGAGAGGGCGACCGGCCACACUGGGACUGAGACACGGCCCAGACUCCUACGGGAGGCAGCAGUGGGGAAUAUUGGGCAAUGGGCGCAAGCCUGACCCAGCGACGCCGCGUGAGGGAUGAAGGCCUUCGGGUUGUAAACCUCUUUCAGUAGGGAAGAAGCGAAAGUGACGGUACCUAAAGAAGAAGCACCGGCUAACUAUGUGCCAGCCGCCGCCGUAA
rnacentral:rRNA from 1 species